UGUAUUCCUGAUGUAUCUAUGCGGAGAAAGGUGAUCUCCGCGUCUUACCCCUCCGCCAUCUUGAAGCUCCUCCUGGAAGCUUUCUCUUAACUGCACUCCCUGCUUCUGCCCAUGGCCCCUGCUGGUCUACAUGUGACACAGCAGCCAGAAUCCUCCUUGAAAUGCAGCCAGAAAAGAAAGGAUCACCUAAUGUUUGAUGCUUCUUGGGCCUGCCUUCUAUGUGGAAGUCUGGGAAAGCCGUCAAUAUGGUCAAUGGGAGAAGUGAGAGUUGGUGCCUAGUAAGAAAUGGAUGGAAGGUGAUUUUGCAGAAAUCAUGAGUGCAAGCAGG